UUCCUGGGCCAUGCCACCCUGAACAAGCCCGAUCCCAUCGGAUCUCGGAAGCUAAGCAGGGUCAGGCCUGGUUAGUACUUGGAUGGGUGACCACCUAGGAAGACCAGGUGCUGUAGGCG
rnacentral:rRNA from 1 species